GUGCCAGCCGCCGCGGUAACACGUAGGGGGCAAGCGUUGUCCGGAUUUAUUGGGCGUAAAGAGCUCGUAGGCUGUUCGGUAAGUCGGGUGUUAAACCCUCAGGCUCAACCUGGGGCCCCACCCGAUACUGCUGUGACUAGAGUCCGGUAGGGGAGCGUGGAAUUCCUGGUGUAGCGGUGAAAUGCGCAGAUAUCAGGAGGAACACCAGCGGCGAAGGCGGCGCUCUGGGCCGGAACUGACGCUGAGGAGCGAAAGCGUGGGUAGCAAACAGGAUUAGAUACCCCGGUAGUCC
rnacentral:rRNA from 1 species